AAGAGGUUCAAAACUAGCCACUUGACUACAAUACGAAGGAACAUUCAUGACUCGAACGAAAAGAAUGACAAAUGAAGCGACUCUAAGAGUUUGUAAAGAACCGACUACACCAUAGCAGUUUAAUAAGUCUUUUUUCACGCGUUGCGAGGCUUACCAGAUACUAUCAAUUCAUACUCCCUAAUUAAUGAAAUCUUCUCCAAGGUCACCUGAGUUCUCUGUGAAAACAUAUAGCAAGGAGUGAAAUGCUAGCUCAGUACAAUGAGUAAUAAUACUUAACCAUAACUUGCGGCUUGCCGCCCUUUGCUGCAGCUUGAAACCCUUCGCAUCUUUGGACCCUUUAGCCCGCUAUUCCCCUUUUUUUUAAAACGUGUUGGUCAUUAAAACAAACCCACAAUCUGCCUCUUCUUUUAAAAAAAAAUCAGAAGACAAAAAUGACCUUAUUUCAAUGUAUGGUAUUACACUGACACAUCUUAACUCUUAUUUCAUCUCUAAUUAUUGAAGUCGUUCCAUAUCCACACAUCUUCUAUGGUUAUCAAGUGUGGAGAUCAGGGAACUUUUAAUAGUAAGCCGAAGUCAUCAGUAGCCAUGGUUAGGAUUCUUUAGGACCAAGAAUCUAAACCUUUCAAAUUUGUGACAGUCUUACUCAUUUGAGGACUGUAGGUCCAAAUUUGAAGAGACACAGGCAUGUCUGCUCCGAGUUGUCUGCUACAGUCUCUUAAGAAAGGUGAUAUCAUCUAUUUCAGCAAAAACUGGGAUUUUAAACACAUUAGCAACUGACCAGUCUACUAAUGAUCAUCUACCAAGAGAUGAGCAUGUUUCGAUUGUUGCAGUUAAAGAGUGAAUUUGUAACCAGCAGCUAGUAGAGGAGAAAUCAAUUAAUGCAGAAAUUGCACAUGAACUAAACAAAUCCAACUCUAUUAGCUGCUUUAAGGACAGUGAUGAAGGAAAGAUCAGAGCAAGAAGGAAGAAAUUUUGGGAGAAGGCUGUUGAUAUUGAUGAACUUUACGGUCCGGGUAUGAGAGGGCAGAUGCAGGAUGACUUUAACCACAGCAAUUAGGCCAAUUCUUAUGCAGAACAUUUUUAAAAUAGUAGGUUUGUAGAGUCAAUUUUAGAUUUUACUGGGAGCUAGCUUCUACCUGUGGCUGGUCCUUCAUUGACUCAUCAGACGAGAUACGAUCCUGCUCAUGCAUUAAGUCCUAUAGUUGAAGAUGUCAGGUAUGGCUUGUUUCGGAGACUUGGGUUAUCUGGACCGGAGGCAUCUGUAUUCAAUUUGUUACACUCAAACUUCAGGUGUCACAAGAAUGAGAUUUUCGUUGCCACUGCAUAUAAGUUGUAGUUUUGUAUUAGCGAUCUCUGUGUUUACUGUUCUUUUAGUACUUUCUGGUGUAACUCUUGAGAGGCCGUUGUGGUAGAAUGGCGUUGGGGGUUGCUUUCGACCCCUGACACAUUUAUGUUGAAACAACUCUACUCAACUUAACUGAGGUUGAGCAGUCCAGAAGCUUCUCUAAAUGGAUUUCAGUUUGAAUAGUUCAA